AACGUAGGAGACAAACGUUAUCCGGAGUUACUGGGCGUAAAGGGCGUGUAGGCGGUUUGUUAAGUUUGGCGUGAAAGCUCUCGGCUAAACCGGGAGAGGUCGUUGGAUACUGGCAAACUAGAGGACGGUAGAGGCGUGUGGAAUUCCGGGUGUAGUGGUGAAAUUCGUAGAUAUUGGGAAGAACACCGGUGGCGAAGGCGGCGACCUGGUCCGUGACUGACGCUGAGGCGCGAAAGCGUGGGGAGCAAACAGG
rnacentral:rRNA from 1 species